GGACCCGCACAAGCGGUGGAGCAUGUGGUUUAAUUCGAUGAUACGCGAGGAACCUUACCAGGACUUAAAUGUAAGUUGCAUGAUUCAGAAAUGAAUCUUUCUUCGGACUACUUACAAGGUGCUGCAUGGUUGUCGUCAGCUCGUGCCGUGAGGUGUCAGGUUAAGUCCUAUAACGAGCGCAACCCCUAUCGUUAGUUGCCAUCAAGUAAAGUUGGGAACUCUAGCGAAACUGCCGGUGUAAACCGAGAGGAAGGUGGGGAUGACGUCAAAUCAUCACGGCCCUUACGUUCUGGGCUACACACGUGCUACAAUGGCCGGUACAGAAAGCAGCCACUAUGCGAAUAGGAGCGAAUCUAUAAAACCGGUCUCAGUUCGGAUCGCAGUCUGCAACUCGACUGCGUGAAGCUGGAAUCGCUAGUAAUCGG
rnacentral:rRNA from 1 species